UUAAUGUUUAUUAAUUGAAUGUGAUACUUUUUGUUAGGAAUUGAAGGGACUGGAACUGGCCUUGUGUUACAUGAGAAAUCUCUUGGAAAGGUUUUUCAUGUUCAAUGCUUGCAUAUUCCUUUUCAUGAUCGAACGCCAUUUGAAGGUUUGAUUAAAAUUGUGGAAGAAAGUGUGAAGAUUGAGCAUAAUUUGUCUCCAAAUAAGCCGAUUUAUUUGCUUGGAGAAUCUUUUGGAGGAACAUUAGCACUUGGAGUUGCAGCUCGUAAUCCUACAAUUGACUUAAUACUCAUUCUAGCAAACCCAGCAACUUCUUAUGAGAGAUCAUCAUUGUACCCUUUAGUACGCUUCCUUAUGGGUAGGUUACUAUCAACUCAUGUCACAAUAAUCAAGUUAAUGACUCCACGCACCCCCUAAAUCUGCACUUG